rnacentral:misc_RNA from 1 species
GAUGAAGAACGCAGCGAAAUGCGAUAAGUAGUGUGAAUUGCAGAAUUCAGUGAAUCAUCGAAUCUUUGAACGCACAUUGCGCCCCUUGGUAUUCCAUGGGGCAUGCCUGUUCGAGCGUCAUUUGUACCUUCAAGCUUUGCUUGGUGUUGGGUGUUUGUCCCGCCUUUGCGUGUAGACUCGCCUUAAAAUAAUUGGCAGCCGGCGUAUUGAUUUCGGAGCGCAGUACAUCUCGCGCUUUGCACUCAUAACGACAGCGUCCAAAAGUACAUUUUACACUCUUGACCUCGGAUCAGGUAGGGAUACCCGCUGAACUUAAGCAUAUCAAUAAGCGGAGGA